UGUUAGUAGUAGUAGCUUCAAAGAUUUUUAUGAUAUACAUAUGGGGUUGUGCUUGUGGAUAAUCAAGAUCUGUGUUAGUAGUAGUAGUAGCUUUAGAAGUUUUUCAUGAUAUGCAUCUGGGCUUGUGGAUAUUUUCCCUGCUGUAAAAGUUGAAACAGAUAGAUAGCUGUUAUAGGAUUGUUCCAAAGCCAAUCUUGUGAGUUUGAGUGCAACUCGCUGAAAAAGUACCCUUAUUUGUUACUUAGUUCCAGGAUGUUUAGGUUUGAAUUGUUGAUGAAUGUUGAAAUCUCAAGUGUAUCUUCUUGCAUUAAAGAAUGAUGUGUAGUACAGAUUCUUCUGGAGCUUUUGGUAAACAAGCGUGGGGGUAAAUGGUGGAUAGACAAGAUCCUCAUCUGCUGGUCAUUUGUCGCCAGGGCUGAUUGGAGAAGGCAUAAUCAAAACUUGUAGUGGAUUGGGUACAAAGAUUUGACGUUUUUGGCGGCUCCUACUUCCCCCGCCCCCCAAUCUAUUAUCCCCUUCUUCUUCACGCUCUUCAACCCGACUUCCAUGUGCCCUCAUGGCUCCCCUUUGAUUCUGUAUUGAACCACGCUUCCAUUCUCUGGGUGUUCUCUGAUGGGAAAGAAGAAAUCCCAGAAGACCAAGGAGAUUACAGUCGCCAUACCUCAAACCUCCGCCUCCAAAUCACCCGAUGACGCCGCUGCCCAAUCGAUACAGCCCAGAAAGAGGGGCCGACCUCGUAAGGUCCUCGAUGAACCACAGAACGAACAGGAUAACAAGGAACUGCCACCGCCUUCGCCUCCGCCGCCCGACGUUGUUGCAGAGAAACCACCGGAGAAGAAAGCCAAAACCACCGUGGAUGAUGAGCCACCACCGGCUUCGAAACAAGAACGCGAUCAAGAAGAACAACAAUCAGGAGAUGGUCCGAGAAGCAGAGGAAGGCGAAAGAACAAACCCAGAAAAAGUAGCUGACAAAAAUUGUUGCCAGCUAGGAAUUGUCAGAAGGGAAGAGAAGAUAUGUGGAGCCAGCUCAUGAUUUUAUGGCACGUGAGGCUCACGUGCCAAUAUUAUCUGCUAAGACCUAUUACUCAAGUUCCGCUGUUGCAUUGGCCGCGGUUUUGGUGCAGUUGAUGGUGAUGGUUUGUUUGUUCGCAGAUAAAAUGGCGUGUGAACUUCACGUUGUUUCCUGGCGCGUUGAGAGAAAUGCCGGAAGGUACUAAUAAUAAUGCAUGUCGUGGACGUAGUUGUUUGAGAA